rnacentral:rRNA from 2 species
CUGCGGAAGGUCAUUGU